CUGGCGGCGUGCUUCAUACAUGCAAGUCGAACGAGAAACUGACUUCGGUCAGUGGAAAGUGGCGGACGGGUGAGUAAAAUGUAGAGAAUCUGCCCUAGAGAGUGGGACAACAGAGGGAAACUUCUGCUAAUACCGCAUAUGCGCGUAGCUGAGAUGCUAUUCGUGAAAACUCCGGUGCUCUGGGAUGAGUCUGCAUCUGAUUAGCUAGUUGGCGGUGUAAUGGACCACCAAGGUGACGAUCAGUAGCUGGUUUGAGAGGAUGAUCAGCCACAAUGGGACUGAGACACGGCCCAUACUCCUACGGGAGGCAGCAGUAGGGAAUUUUGCGCAAUGGGGGAAACCCUGAACCGCAGCAACGCCGCGUGAUUGAAGAAGCCCUUCGGGGUGUAAAGAUCUGUCAGUGGGGACGAAACUUGACGGUACCCACAGAGGAAGCAUCGGCUAACUCCGUGCCAGCCGCGGC
rnacentral:rRNA from 1 species